GACGAACGCUGGCGGCGUGCUUAACACAUGCAAGUCGAACGGAAAGGCCCUGCUUGCAGGGUACUCGAGUGGCGAACGGGUGAGUAACACGUGGGUGAUCUGCCCUGCACUUCGGGAUAAGCCUGGGAAACUGGGUCUAAUACCGGAUAGGAGCCAUUUUUAGUGUGAUGGUUGGAAAGUUUUUUCGGUGUAGGAUGAGCUCGCGGCCUAUCAGCUUGUUGGUGGGGUAAUGGCCUACCAAGGCGGCGACGGGUAGCCGGCCUGAGAGGGUGGACGGCCACAUUGGGACUGAGAGAAGGCCCAGACGCCUACGGGAGGCAGCAGGGGGGAAGAUUGCACAAUGGGCGCAAGCCUGAUGCAGCGACGCCGCGUGGGGGAUGACGGCCUUCGGGUUGUAAACUCCUUUCGCUAGGGACGAAGCUUUUUGUGACGGUACCUAGAUAAGAAGCACCGGCUAACUACGUG
rnacentral:rRNA from 1 species